CCUACGGGAGGCAGCAGUGGGGAAUAUUGCACAAUGGGCGAAAGCCUGAUGCAGCAACGCCGCGUGAGCGAUGAAGGCCUUCGGGUCGUAAAGCUCUGUCCUCAAGGAAGAUAAUGACGGUACUUGAGGAGGAAGCCCCGGCUAACUACGUGCCAGCAGCCGCGGUAAU
rnacentral:rRNA from 2 species